rnacentral:rRNA from 1 species
UCUGGGUGCCAGCAGCCGCGGUAACUCCAGCUCCAAUAGCAUAUAUUAAAAUUGCUGCAGUUAAAAAGCUCGUAGUUGGAUCUGGGUUCUGGUUUAGAAGUCGUGUGCAUGGUCCUGCUUGAGGAAACGAUGGCUAGAUUGUGCUGCGAUCUUCUUGAACCGAAUCUUUCAGCUGUGUCUUUGUGAUACUUCGGUAUUGCUUAGAUAGUUCUACUUGUCUAGUUUGUUCUUUGGACAGAUUAGCGGUGGUUCUACGCAUUGUUAAUGCUCUUAACCGGGUGUUCAGUGUGGGCAGCACGUUUACUUUGAACAAAUUUGAGUGCUCAAAGCAGGCCU